rnacentral:rRNA from 1 species
GACGAACGCUGGCGGCGUGCUUAACACAUGCAAGUCGAACGAAGAGCGAUGGAAGCUUGCUUCUAUCAAUCUUAGUGGCGAACGGGUGAGUAACGCGUAAUCAACCUGCCCUUCAGAGGGGGACAACAGUUGGAAACGACUGCUAAUACCACAUACGAUCUAAUCUCGGCAUCGAGGAUAGAUGAAAGGUGGCCUCUACAUGUAAGCUAGCGCUGCAGGAGGGGAUUGCGUCUGAUUAGCUAGUAGGAGGGGUAACGGCGCACCAAGGCGAUGAUCAGUAGCCGGUCUGAGAGGAUGAACGGCCACAUUGGGACUGAGACACGGCACAGACGCCUACGGGAGGCAGCAGUGGGGAAUCUUGCGCAAUGGACGAAAGUCUGACGGAGCAACGCCGCGUGAGUGAUGACGGCCUUCGGGUUGUAAAGCUCUGUUAAUCGGGACGAAAGGGCUUCUGGCGAAUAGUGAGAAGGAUUGACGGUACCGGAAGAGAAAGCCACGGCUAACUACGUG